rnacentral:rRNA from 1 species
CGGGGGGGCAAGCGUUGUUCGGAAUUACUGGGCGUAAAGGGCGCGUAGGCGGUUCGCUAAGUUGAAUGUGAAAACUCUGGGCUUAACCCAGAGCCUGCAUUCAAUACUGGCGGGCUAGAGUUCUGGAGGGGAUAGCGGAAUUCCUGGUGUAGCGGUGAAAUGCGUAGAUAUCAGGAGGAACACCGGUGGCGAAGGCGGCUAUCUGGACAGAGUCUGACGCUGAGGCGCGAAAGCUAGGGGAGCAAACAGGAUUAGAUACCCUGGUAGUCCUAGCCCUAAACGAUGGAUACUUGCUGUGACUGGGAUUGAAUCCAGUCGUGGCGAAGCUAACGCAUUAAGUAUCCCGCCUGGGGAGUACGGUCGCAAGGCUG